rnacentral:rRNA from 1 species
CCUACGGGAGGCAGCAGUGCGGAAUUUUAGAUAAUGGAGGGAACUCUGAUCUAGCGACGCCGCGUGCAGGAAGAAGGUCUUCGGAUUGUAAACUGCUGUGGUAAGGGAAAAAUGCUAUGUAGAGUGGAAAGCUACAUAGAGGGAUGGUACCUUACUAGAAAGCCCCGGCUAACUACGUGCCAGCAGCCGCGGUAAU